AGUGGGAUAGCUGGGUCAAAUGGUGGUUCCAUUCCCAGGGUUCCAAGGAAUCUUCAUACUGCUUUCCAGAUUGGUUGCACCUAUUUUCAGUCCCACCAGCUAU
rnacentral:pre_miRNA from 1 species